rnacentral:rRNA from 1 species
UGGGGAAUAUUGGACAAUGGGGGGAACCCUGAUCCAGCGACGCCGCGUGAGUGAAGAAGUAUUUCGGUAUGUAAAGCUCUAUCAGCAGGGAAGAUAAUGACAGUACCUGACCAAGAAGCACCGGCUAAAUACGUGCCAGCAGCCGCGGUAAUACGUAUGGUGCAAGCGUUAUCCGGAUUUACUGGGUGUAAAGGGAGCGUAGGCGGUCUGCCAAGUCUGAUGUGAAAACCCGGGGCCCAACCCCGGGAGUGCAUUGGAAACUGGCGGACUGGAGUGUCGGAGAGGUAAGCGGAAUUCCUAGUGUAGCGGUAAAAUGCGUAGAUAUUAGGAGGAACACCAGUGGCGAAGGCGGCUUACUGGACGAUAACUGACGCUGAGGCUCGAAAGCGUGGGGAGCAAACAGG